GUUAAGCGACUAAGCGUACACGGUGGAUGCCCUGGCAGUCAGAGGCGAUGAAGGACGUGCUAAUCUGCGAUAAGCGUCGGUGAGGUGAUAUGAACCGUUAUAACCGGCGAUUUCCGAAUGGGGAAACCCAGUGUGUUUCGACACACUAUCAUUAACUGAAUCCAUAGGUUAAUGAGGCGAACCGGGGGAACUGAAACAUCUAAGUACCCCGAGGAAAAGAAAUCAACCGAGAUUCCCCCAGUAGCGGCGAGCGAACGGGGAGGAGCCCAGAGCCUGAAUCAGUGUGUGUGUUAGUGGAAGCGUCUGGAAAGGCGUGCGAUACAGGGUGACAGCCCCGUACACAAAAAUGCACAUAUUGUGAGCUCGAUGAGUAGGGCGGGACACGUGGUAUCCUGUCUGAAUAUGGGGGGACCAUCCUCCAAGGCUAAAUACUCCUGACUGACCGAUAGUGAACCAGUACCGUGAGGGAAAGGCGAAAAGAACCCCGGCGAGGGGAGUGAAAAAGAACCUGAAACCGUGUACGUACAAGCAGUGGGAGCCUCUUAAUGGGGUGACUGCGUACCUUUUGUAUAAUGGGUCAGCGACUUAUAUUCUGUAGCAAGGUUAACCGAAUAGGGGAGCCGAAGGGAAACCGAGUCUUAACUGGGCGUUAAGUUGCAGGGUAUAGACCCGAAACCCGGUGAUCUAGCCAUGGGCAGGUUGAAGGUUGGGUAACACUAACUGGAGGACCGAACCGACUAAUGUUGAAAAAUUAGCGGAUGACUUGUGGCUGGGGGUGAAAGGCCAAUCAAACCGGGAGAUAGCUGGUUCUCCCCGAAAGCUAUUUAGGUAGCGCCUCGUGAAUUCAUCUCCGGGGGUAGAGCACUGUUUCGGCAAGGGGGUCAUCCCGACUUACCAACCCGAUGCAAACUGCGAAUACCGGAGAAUGUUAUCACGGGAGACACACGGCGGGUGCUAACGUCCGUCGUGAAGAGGGAAACAACCCAGACCGCCAGCUAAGGUCCCAAAGUCAUGGUUAAGUGGGAAACGAUGUGGGAAGGCCCAGACAGCCAGGAUGUUGGCUUAGAAGCAGCCAUCAUUUAAAGAAAGCGUAAUAGCUCACUGGUCGAGUCGGCCUGCGCGGAAGAUGUAACGGGGCUAAACCAUGCACCGAAGCUGCGGCAGCGACACUAUGUGUUGUUGGGUAGGGGAGCGUUCUGUAAGCCUGUGAAGGUGGCCUGUGAGGGUUGCUGGAGGUAUCAGAAGUGCGAAUGCUGACAUAAGUAACGAUAAAGCGGGUGAAAAGCCCGCUCGCCGGAAGACCAAGGGUUCCUGUCCAACGUUAAUCGGGGCAGGGUGAGUCGACCCCUAAGGCGAGGCCGAAAGGCGUAGUCGAUGGGAAACAGGUUAAUAUUCCUGUACUUGGUGUUACUGCGAAGGGGGGACGGAGAAGGCUAUGUUGGCCGGGCGACGGUUGUCCCGGUUUAAGCGUGUAGGCUGGUUUUCCAGGCAAAUCCGGAAAACCAAGGCUGAGGCGUGAUGACGAGGCACUACGGUGCUGAAGCGACAAAUGCCCUGCUUCCAGGAAAAGCCUCUAAGCAUCAGGUAACAUCAAAUCGUACCCCAAACCGACACAGGUGGUCAGGUAGAGAAUACCAAGGCGCUUGAGAGAACUCGGGUGAAGGAACUAGGCAAAAUGGUGCCGUAACUUCGGGAGAAGGCACGCUGAUAUGUAGGUGAAGCGACUUGCUCGUGGAGCUGAAAUCAGUCGAAGAUACCAGCUGGCUGCAACUGUUUAUUAAAAACACAGCACUGUGCAAACACGAAAGUGGACGUAUACGGUGUGACGCCUGCCCGGUGCCGGAAGGUUAAUUGAUGGGGUUAGCGGCAACGCGAAGCUCUUGAUCGAAGCCCCGGUAAACGGCGGCCGUAACUAUAACGGUCCUAAGGUAGCGAAAUUCCUUGUCGGGUAAGUUCCGACCUGCACGAAUGGCGUAAUGAUGGCCAGGCUGUCUCCACCCGAGACUCAGUGAAAUUGAACUCGCUGUGAAGAUGCAGUGUACCCGCGGCAAGACGGAAAGACCCCGUGAACCUUUACUAUAGCUUGACACUGAACAUUGAGCCUUGAUGUGUAGGAUAGGUGGGAGGCUUUGAAGUGUGGACGCCAGUCUGCAUGGAGCCGACCUUGAAAUACCACCCUU
rnacentral:rRNA from 1 species